rnacentral:rRNA from 1 species
AGUCGAACGAGAAUCUACUGAAAGAGUUUUCGGACAAUGGAAGUAGAGGAAAGUGGCGGACGGGUGAGUAACGCGUGAGGAACCUGCCUUGAAGAGGGGGACAACAGUUGGAAACGACUGCUAAUACCGCAUGAAGCAUAGGGGUCGCAUGAUCUUUAUGCCAAAGAUUUAUCGCUUCAAGAUGGCCUCGCGUCUGAUUAGCUAGUUGGCGGGGUAACGGCCCACCAAGGCGACGAUCAGUAGCCGGACUGAGAGGUUGAACGGCCACAUUGGGACUGAGAUACGGCCCAGACUCCUACGGGAGGCAGCAGUGGGGAAUAUUGGGCAAUGGGCGCAAGCCUGACCCAGCAACGCCGCGUGAAGGAAGAAGGCUUUCGGGUUGUAAACUUCUUUUAAGAGGGAAGAGCAGAAGACGGUACCUUUAGAAUAAGCCACGGCUAACUACGUGCCAGCAGCCGCGGUAAUACGUAGGUGGCAAGCGUUGUCCGGAUUUACUGGGUGUAAAGGGCGUGCAGCCGGGUCUGCAAGUCAGAUGUGAAAUCCACGGGCUCAACCCAUGAACUGCAUUUGAAACUGUAGAUCUUGAGUGUCGGAGGGGCAAUCGGAAUUCCUAGUGUAGCGGUGAAAUGCGUAGAUAUUAGGAGGAACACCAGUGGCGAAGGCGGAUUGCUGGACGAUAACUGACGGUGAGGCGCGAAAGUGUGGGGAGCAAACAGGAUUAGAUACCCUGGUAGUCCACACUGUAAACGAUGAAUACUAGGUGUGCGGGGACUGACCCCCUGCGUGCCGCAGUAAACACAAUAAGUAUUCCACCUGGGGAGUACGAUCGCA